rnacentral:tRNA from 1 species
AUGCAAAGCGGACGCUCUGCCACUGAGCUACACCCCCUUUUGUAUACAGGACGCGGUAGAACGCGCCGGCUUGAUG